rnacentral:rRNA from 1 species
GUCCACGCUGUAAACGAUGCACAUUAGGUGCUAGGGAGUAUCGACCCUCUUUAGUACCAAAGCUAACGCGUUAAAUGUGCCGCCUGGGGAGUACGGCCGCAAGGCUAAAACUCAAAGGAAUUGACGGGGACCUGCACAAGCGGUGGAGCAUGUGGUUUAAUUCGACGGUAAGCGAGGAACCUUACCAAGUUUUGACAUGGACCUGCAUACAUUAGAAAUAGUGUAGCCUUCGAGGGUGGUUCACAGGUGCUGCACGGUUGUCGU